GGCAAAAUCCUGUGUAGAUAAAUCCACUCGAUACACAUUUGCCUGUUAUUUCUUUUGUGUACAGAUACAGGAAAUAUGGCAGUUGUUUUGUCAAGAUGAAAUAUUUCCCAACGCCAGAAGUAAAUCUCCACACUUUCAUCAGUGCCUGGGAGCCUGGAGUGCUGCCACAUCUGGGUGCAGGUGGGAUGAGGGAGAGAGGGGAACAGGAGUGGGUUUGGCACCACCAUGGAACAUCGUGGGACACAGCUUGGAAAUGCCUUCAUCCCUGGGAGCUGAAGGAGGCACCCAGCUCCCUCUGGGAGGCUCAUUCAGAUUCCUUACUGGAAAACUCUGCCUCCUCUCACUGGGAAAAAAACCCCAGUGAUCCAAACUACCCUGGCUUUCCUAAAAAUCAGACCCAUAAGGGUGGGGUCUGGGAGCUUCAAGUCACCUGUUGAUCAGGUAACCUCAGGAGGCUGCCAGCCCAGUGUGGAGAUCUUGUCAGAAAAGGUGGGCAAGUCAAUGAAAAUGGAGAGGUUUUGGAAGAAAAUUCAGCCUGUAAGGUCAGAUUCUGUGAUUCCAUGACCUUGGGUCCGGCCUGGAAUUCCAUCCCUGAAGAGAAACACGACAACCUCACAUUUAUCAGCAGCAGAGGGCGUCCAACGCACGCGUGUCCCCAAAUCCCGAGCUCCAACAGCAAAUCCGACGGCGGCCAAAAUUACCGGGAGCGCAGCCGAUGCUUCCCCGCCAAUUGUGCCGCUGCCCCGGGUUUCCUUCCCCGCUCCGUGCUCGGUGCCAUACGGGAGCUGCAGACCCGAUUGUUCGCCCUGUGGCCCCCGCAGACAGGAUACGAGCCCAGUGCCAGGUGCUCUGCUCAUAGAGGAGAACAGGAAUGUAAUAAAACAGCUUCUGUGGUCUCCUUCUCCUCAAUGCCAUGGCUACACCCUACCUGCAAAUUUGGAGCCUUCUCCUGUCCAAAGGGCAAGUUCAGCCUCAUGCAGUGCUUAUGGGAUUUCUCAGUGUUUGCAGCAACCAAGGGAGCCAGAAAAUCUGUUUUUCUCAGUAACACAGCUUCAAAAUUCACCCCAGAUCUCAGUGGCAGGCAGAGCUGGAAUGAUCCAGGAACUCUCCAUCCUGGAGCUUUGGGAGGAGCACCUGACACCCACCUCCUCUGCACUGACCUUCACCCUUGGGUGUGCCUGCACUAAGCUGCUCUUCUCUGGCAGUUCACUCACCCCAUUUCUUGCUGCCUGUCACCUUUCCUCUCUUCCCUUGUAAUUUUGUGGUGACUCACUGCCAGGUUAUGCCAUGCCCAGUACAAUCCCUUUGGAUCCUCAGAGAGGAUGCCCACAGUCUGCAGAGUGAGCACAGCCUUGACCUUUGAGGGCAGGAGACAGGGGCCAAGAGGGAUUUAGGCUUCUGAAAGGCCAUUGUCACCCAUGUGGGACCAGCUCAGGGCUGUAGUCAAGGAGAGAAGAGAAGAGAAGAGAAGAGAAGAGAAGAGAAGAGAAGAGAAGAGAAGAGAAGAGAAGAGAAGAGAAGAGAAGAGAAGAGAAGAGAAGAGAAGAGAAGAGAAGAGAAGAGAAGAGAAGAAGGAUUUCCAGGGGAAAACACUAAGAUGGUGCUGAGGACACAGAAAACUGUGGGUUAUCUGCAGUUCUGCCUGUUCAUGGCAAGCGAAGAUGUUGGCUGAGUUGGGUAUGCAGCUUCUGCCUUUCCCCAGCCUCAAAGGAUGAUUCUGGACCCAAAUCACAGGCAUUUUCUCCCAAAUGCAGAAUAUCUGCUGCAGAGAUUCCCACUCAGAAUGCAGCUAAUGCCCACUGUUUUCCUGGCUAACUUCACUGAAGGAAGGGCUUUAGUAACAUUUCUAGUCCAGUUGGGUUUCCCUGGUUUAUUCAUUGUUUACAGAGGAAAAUAAAUCCUUUGACCUGUGAAAA